GCCCGAUUAGCUUGUUGGCGAGGUAACGGCUCACCAAGGCAAUGAUCGGUAGCUGGUCUGAGAGGAUGGCCAGCCACACUGGAACUGAGACACGGUCCAGACUCUCUACGGGAGGCAGCAGUGGGGAAUCUUGCGCAAUGGGCGAAAGCCUGACGCAGCGACGCCGCGUGGGGGAUGAAGCUUCUCGGAGUGUAAACCCCUUUCGACCCGGACGAAUGUCCCGCAAGGGAUUGACGGUACGGGUAUAAGAAGCCCCGGCUAACUACGUGCCAGCAGCCGCGGUAAGACGUAGGGGGCCAGCGUUGCUCGGAAAUUACUGGGGUAAAGGGUUCGUAGGCGGUGUGGCAAGUCGGGAGUGAAAUCUCUGGGCUUAACUCAGAGGCUGCUUCCGAAACUGCCGCGCUAGAGUACGGGAUAGGCGAGUGGAAUUGCAGGUGUAGCGGUGAAAUGCGUAGAUAUCUGCAGGAACACCCGUGGCGAAGGCGGCUCGCUGGACCGUAACUGACGCUGAGGAACGAAAGCUCGGGGAGCA
rnacentral:rRNA from 1 species